rnacentral:lncRNA from 1 species
UUUUUUUUGCUGUUUCAUUUUUCAUUUGUUUCUCUGGGCUGGCGCUAGGAGGAAUUGCGGCCCAGCACACGCAGCAGCAGUUUUCAUUGGCUGACCCAAUUAGAAACCGGCUCACACAGCAAAAUUUGGCCCGCGGCCAGCCUGCCCUGCGCUGCUCCCGUGUCCCAGGCCGCAACCUGGGCCUGGGCCGGGAUUUGCCGAACCCACCUGGGCCAAAUCUAGCCCAAGUGAGUGCUGGGUGAUCUCAGCCAUUCAUUCCGAUCCAACGGCUGGGAGAGAAAUUCGGGAAAAUAAAACCCCAGCAGCCGGCCUCAACCCUAACUCUAACUUCAUUUCUUUUCUCACUUCUUUCUAGCAGCAAACGGCGGGCAGCUCGCCAGGAGGCCACUGGCCUCGGUGAAGCCUCUCGGUUCCUGGUGGCCAACGGUAGCCACUGCUGCCUUUUCUUUUUUUCUUUUUUUUUGCAAUUUCUUUUCCAUAUCUUUUAUCUCCUAGCAGAAACUGCUAGCCGGCCAGAUCAGUGGCCGUCCCUUUUUUUUGUGGUUUCUUUCUCCACACAGCCGCGACAGCACAGGGAGGCGGCGCCGCCGCCGGGGCCCUUGGCCGGUGCGCGCGUCCACCCGAGGGUUGGGCGCGCCGCCGUCCAGCGGUCCCGUGACGGUGCCCGGCCGGCACGCGAGCCCGUGACGGUGCCCGGCCGGUACGCGAGUUGAGUUCUUUGUUUCUUCUUUGGGUUAGGAUUUCGUUCUUGAUUCGUUUUCCUCGAUUCAGAUCGAGUUUUAUUUUGUUUCAUUUCUUCCCGAUCUUAGAUCUAUUGAUUUCGCAACCAGGCACUGAUACCAUUGUUAAAUUCGUAAUGCAUCGCGGUUCAUAGAUCGGGAACAUUUCUUUACAUUUAAUCAAUAAUAAUAUGUACAUCAACAUGCCCAAAAUAAAAUCUACAGUACAAACAAAAACGGAAACGGUAAAUAGACUAGACCGUCGCUGGGAGCCGGAGCCGCCGUAGAUCUGCUGGCGUUCGCCGUGGCGUCGUUCGCUGGUGAAGCCAUCGGAUCUGCGUCGGGGACGUUCCUUGUCGUGGUGGCGCGGACGUUGGGGUGGCGUUGUCGGCGUGGGUGGUGCUUCCCGUCGCUGGCCGCGCCCCUCUCGGAUCGGAUUAGGGUUUAGGAUGUCGGUGGGGGAAAAGGCUGCGCGGUGAACCUCGUACCUCGAGCUCUAGCCCCCCACCUUCCUUUAUAGCGCUGUGCGACGGGGCCCACCAACCAUGUAGGGUUGGGCGCCCCCGAUCAGGGCGCGAGAACAAGGCCCAAAAGGCCUUUGGGCCCAUCUGGAAAGGAGAUCAACUAACACUUGUGACUCAACAACCCAUCAAUCCUAUCAUUCCUUCUAUCGAAAAAAUAAAGUCUAGACUUCUAUCGAAAAAAGAAAGUCUAGAAAGAGACCCCCAUUCACAGCUGUUGAUGAGAUCCCCAGAAGCACUAGAAGGCACCAACAACAAGGCUUUGUUCACAUGGAACUAGAUGAAAGAUCAAAGCCAAGAAAGCUAGGCAAACAUGAUACAGACAAACUGAAGAAGAAGCUAGAGAGUGUUAUGGAAGAAGCAGCUAUAGAUGAUAACCCACUUCCAAUUGGGGUGAUGCAGACUAUUGCAUUUCAAUAUUGUGAAGUUUCUCCUAAGGAUAUUUCUUCUGACAAGCUACUCCAGAAUGUUCAACAUGAAGAUACAACUAAAGAUAAUGCAACAGCUUAACAUACAGUGGCCUUGGAGUGUGUUGGCUCAUUUUGUGCAAGUUGGCCUUGUCCUUUGUCUUUGUGGGGUGGU